CCAACUCAAUUAAUAACCCCCAGCCCAAAACAUUCCCUGACCCAGCCCGAUCCACUUUAUCUUCUCCUCCACCAAUGAUACAAACACAACAACAACAGUUUGACGCCAUCAACAACCCGACCAACUCCAAAUACCCGAUUUCAUCAACCCCAACCCGUCUAUUUUUGUUCACACGCAUCUCAUGCAUCCGUAGGAUGAGAAAAGGAUUCAAAAAUCUUCUAGAACGAGCCUAUUUGUCCCCCCAACGGUUUGAUUCUGUGAUUUUUGGGUGUAAUUGUACAAUUCCGUACAUGUAUGUCACAAUUUCAUUGGCUCAUGGUGAAAAUUAAUUUUCCCCCAAUCUCAUUGGUCCAGCAAUUUCAACACUGGUACGUUCGUUGAUGAAACCCUAAGACAAAGGGGGAAUUCGAAUUUCAAAUUUGAAGAUACCUUAUUUUUCAAGUCCCGAAAAUACCCCAAAUUCGUCUUCUAUAUAAGAAACGAUUGGGUCACUGUUUUAAAAGGAGAUUUUGGGGGGGUCGAAACUUUGGGGUGUUCAAAAAUUCUUGAAAGGUUUUGGGGGGAUUUUUCUCUUCUUUACAGGUUGGAGAUUCUAGAAUUGGAAAUUCUUUAGAAAAAUUCCUGUGUUAGGAACUUCAAUGCAAAAGAUUUUCUGAGAGCUAGUUAGGUCGGAAAAGGGAGAUUGGAUAAAUUUCCUAGAAAUCUUGAGGUUGGAAAACUUCGAUUAAGAAAAUCAAAGGAAAAGCAGAGAAAAGAGGGGUUGAGAGAAGAGGGAACAUUUCCUUAGCAAAAAACUCUAGAGAAAGCGGUACGCUGUAGAGAUUUUGGUAAAGACAUCAAAUUUACGGUGGUUGUGAUCUCCCUACCCGCUAUUCAUCUCGUUUUGCUACACUUAAAGAGGAAAAUACACCCUGUUUUCACUUCAAUUUGACCAUUUUUCUUCUUCGCCUCUUUUUCUCCUUAGCUGAUGUAGUCGUAUUCGUGAUCUUGUAUGCUGGGUUUAGCUGUUGUAGAGGUCUUGUAAGACCAUAGGAUACGUUGGAUGAAGGAAUGUUUGUCAUGUGAUUAUGUUUGAUGCUAAACUCCAGGUUCAGUCGUUAAAAUCUUUGGUUUUCAGUCUCAUUUGCGCGUCUCAAUUUCAUAUUCGGUUAUCUGAUUUUGACAUUGCUUAUUAGCUUCCAAUUUGAUGCUUUGUAUUGUAUAUUGCUUCUAAGUUUAACUUACUGAGUUCGAUAGUGAUUCCUAUUUCAAUUUUUUGCUUCACUGGCUUGCCGAAUGUUUGUUUUGUUCGAGUAGUCGCCCUUCUAUUUAGCUUGUAAUAUCACCAGCAGGACCACUUUUGCGAGUUUCUUUGGCUUCUCAAAUGUCAAAGAGAAUGACCAAAAUGUGUCCAACAAUGAAAGUUCACCAAGAGAUCCUAGAAUCUCCUCGAUGGCCAUUUCAUUUGAAUCUAUCGAAAUAAGGAGGAGAACAAAAGAUAUUGUAUCUCAUUGGCUCCUUUCUUUAGUUUAUUGAUUGUGUUUCCCUUUCAGUAAAAUUUUGAAGAUUGAUUCUUUGCUUUGGAUUCAUUUCAAGCCAAUAGUCCUGUUUGUUUGAAGUCCAUGAAAGAAUAAAAUUGCUUUGUUGAAGAAUAUUAUACAUGAGAAUGGAUUUGGUCUUGUCGAUGUCCAAAAUCAUUGCUAUGUGUGUAUUCUCCCUCAUGGAUGGCUCCUAUAUUUCUUUUAGUUAUUAAUUUCAAGGUCUAAAACUCUUGAGGUUUUGUAAGACCAUAGUUGAAGAAUAGCCGUAUUCGAUUCUCAAGCUUCUUGUUUUGAAUAAUGGAAAUUUGGGAGGCUGUUUUGCACUAUCGCGACUUUAAGUAGUUUGAGGUUUAUUUGGAGUAAAAGAGGAACUUCUGGGGUUUUGUUUUUCUUGAAUUUUCUAUUAUCUAUUUUGAGGCAUUUGUUUGUCUAAUUUAAUGCGACUCACGAGGUCUUUUUAAUUCGAUGAUAUUAAAAGAGACCUAGGAGUUUGCCAUAGAGCUAUGAUAACAAUCUAGGGAAUCUCUAAUAAACCUUGGUUUAUAUUCUUGCAUUAUUUGGUAAGGAGAGGAGUAUCUGCUCAAGACUGUUAGCCUAAUUGAAUGAUAGUUGGAUCAGUACAUGGAUUGUUGCCCGCCACUUGGCUAGGUUUAAAGGACUUAUUCAACUGACCAUGGUUUACAGAUUGCGUUGCCCCUCCCCCCUCCCCCUCUUUUGCUCUAUUUGUUUUCCUUUAGAGUGUCUCAUUAUUUCUUCCUCCAUGUUUCAUUCUCGCUUUUCCUUGCUUUCUUUCUUGGUUGGGGUUUUCUGCAAUAUGUGAGGAAGUAGGCUUCGAAUGGGGUAAAGUUUCUGCAUGACUUAAUGAAUCUAUGUGAACAUAAAAGCUCGAUACGACUAAUAGAAUUAUCGCUUGCUUUUGAAUUAAUCUGAAUAAUUGUGCAUUAAUCGACUGAACAAUUAUGAUGGGUACAGUAUGCUAUAACUUAGAGUUGAGUAGUUUAUGCUUCAUGUACAAUCCCGCAUUUUAAGAUUACCUUCUGUCUAUUCAUAACUUCGAUGAUCGUUGAUGAUAUGUUUGAAAAAGUAUAGAUAGAACACUCAUAAAAUUUAAACCCCGAAACCCUUUCCCAGUGUUUUUUCCUGAAUGUGAUAAUGGAUGCUAAAUUCUCUUAUGUAUUCCGUGGGACCACCUUGAGCAUGAAGUAUAAUCUUUCUGAUUGCUAUUUGUGGCUUAUUAUGAUUAAUGAUUAGUUACACUAAGUUCAAAGUUCUAAUGCAGUGCCUUACCCCUUUUCUCUUUAUUUCGAUGCAUGUGAAUUCGUUGGAGUCCAAACGGACUCUUUGCAUUCCCUAAUGGGACAAUAAGGCCCAUCCAUUGAGUUGAGCCUAGAAGAGAGUAUAAGGUAGCAUAGCAUACGAAUGCGAGUCGUUGAAGGAAGAAGAAAGUAGAUCAGAGUUUCAUCUUUGAAACAGCUACGAGAUUCAAAAGUCUCAUUUAUUAUUUUUUCCAUUUACUUAUUCCCGUCUUUAUUUAUUUAUUUAUUUUCUUAUUUAUUCAUUUGGGCCUCGAAGUCAAAGUUGUACUUAAUACUGGUGAAGCGGAACUCGAGCUAAAGGCUCGAAAACAUAGAAUUAGGAUAGGUGAAAAUGGGUCAAAAAUCCAACUCGAUUAGGACAGGGUCGACGGUUUGGGCUUAAAAGUCUAAAUCACUACUUCCCCGCUUUUUCCCAUUUUUCCUUUCAUUUACUUGUUUGCUUGUCUCUUUGCGAACCUAGUUAAAUCCAUAACUAAGUCGCUAAGAAACUGAUUUCGCAAAAACCUUUUCCUUAAUCAAUUACUUUUUCAACAAACCGAUCUUCCAAAGUUAGUCAAAAGACGUUUUCAAACAGUUUGGAUAAAUGUAAGUUAGCGGACGUUUUAGGUGUCUAACACCUUCCUAAAAUGUUAAUAGGAACCGCUUACUCGGAAUCUCUAACUUAAAACAAUUUUUCUAUUUUGAAUCGUUUUAAGUAACUCUCUAAAGGUUUCUUAAUUCCUUUUCAAACAGAAAUGGCGACUCUCAAAAAGGCCAAAUUUCUCCGCAAAACUCUUAGGAUAUUAAUUGAUGCAUAUCCAAAGAUGUAAGUCUACGGUUGACUAGUCUAAUUGAUGGCUGGCAUAAGCCAUGAUCUACGACGUUCUAUUAAGUGUCACCACCAGUUCAAAAAAUACAAUUACUACUCCAACGGUAAUAAACGGCUACUUUUAUAAUCCAUCAGUGUCAAGACUUCAUUUUUACUUCAGAUAUAAGGUCGGUCAUCCCUUAUUAUUUUAUUUCAUUUGCUUUGUUUUGUUUUUAAAAAUUCUACAAUAUCUCAAGCCUCUCAAACAUCCAAUUCUAAAUAUACUCUAAUUUUUCAUUGUGGGAAUGCGGCUGCCCUGAGAACAUCACGCACAGACUAUUAAAAUUAGGUCGCAAAUUUUAUAAUUGUGCAAUUGCGAAGAUAAGCGGUGUGUGUCUUUUUUAUGAAGUUAAGUUCGUUGUAAUGUAAUUAUUAUUUUUUCUAGGAUAAUGGCACAUGCUCAUUUAUUAAAUGGCUUGAUGAGCUAUCACCUCCAACCAAUCCAUCAAUGUUGAGUCCGGUACCCGAGACAUCAAACUUUCAAGGCUUGGCAAAAUUUAAUCUACUACAAAGGCUCCAACAAUGCGACGAAAAUAAAGAUUUUCUCAUGACUUUGUUCAAAAAAUCCGAAGAAUGGAGGGAUCACUUUAAAGUGUUGCUACAUGACACCAAAAUGGAGAGGGAUCAACUAAAAUAAAAAUUGAUUUUGGCCGAAGAAAGGGAGAAUGACCUAAAAAUGAUGUUAUGUGCUAUAAUGCUAGUAUUCGUUCUUUGGAAAGGUGUAACAUGCAUGUAGUGAUAUUGAAUAAAUAAUAAUACUUCUAUUUUUCUAUAAUGUUAA
rnacentral:lncRNA from 1 species